rnacentral:rRNA from 1 species
GCACGUGAACUGGGUUCAGAACGUCGCAAGACAGUUCGGUCCCUAUCUGUGGUGGGCGCAAGUAAAUUGAGAGAACAUGACCUUAGUACGAGAGGACCGGGUCGUACGUACCGCUGGUGUAUCAGUUAUGCCGCCAGGUGUAAUGCUGAGUAGCUAUGUACGGACAGGAUAAACGCUGAAAGCAUCUAAGCGUGAAACCUAUCUCAAGAUGAGUUUACUUUUAAGGGCCGUCAAAGACUAUGACGUUGAUAGGCUAUAGGUGUAAAGCUGGUAACAGCAAAGCCAAGUAGUACUAAUUGCCCGUACGCUUUAAUUUU